rnacentral:rRNA from 1 species
UACGUAGGGUCCAAGCGUUGUCCGGAAUUAUUGGGCGUAAAGAGCUCGUAGGCGGUCUGUCGCGUCUGCUGUGAAAACUCAGGGCUUAACCCUGAGCUUGCAGUGGGUACGGGCAGACUAGAGUGCGGUAGGGGAGACUGGAAUUCCUGGUGUAGCGGGUGAAAUGCGCAGAUAUCAGGAGGGAACACCGGUGGCGAAAGGCGGGGUCUCUGGG